CAAAGACUAGGAUUGCAACCCCUGCCUUUUUUUGUUUUCCAUUUCCUUGGUAGAUCUUCCUCCAUCCUUUUAUUUUGAGCCUAUGUGUGUCUCUGCACGUGAGAUGUGUUUCCUGAAUACAGCACACUGAUGGGUCUUGAGGAAUCUGCCCUAUCAUUUCGUAUGAAGAGGGUCUUUUCCUAUGUGAAAAAUACUGUGGUUGUCUUUCCUUUGGAUUCCAUCCUUUAUUAAAUUGAUUGCAAAAUACUCAUUCUUUUUGUACAGAGGUUUACAAAUCUGUUAAACAAUGGUAUGAAAAAAUGGAUCAUGUUUAUUUCAACAACACACAGCAGGAAGGGAAACACAAGAGUGGAUAGGGAUGUUGGGCAGAAUGCACAGACACAGGCUGUAGUGAGAUGAGGAUAGAGUAGGGUGAAGGUAUGCUCAGAUUGACUUCCCUGAAAAAAAAGUACAUACAGAUGAUACAUAAAGAAUGAGCUGGAAUCAUUAAGGUGAAUGACAGGUAUUUAGGAGGUUUUAGGCAUAGAAAGCAAUAUUAAACUCAUUGAGGAGGAAAUACUUGAGUAUAAGAUAAAAAGGAAGGAGUGGUAGAAAAGAGGAUGAGGGAUAGGUAAAGAAUGAUCAUAAAAAAACUGUGUUUAUCAUUAGCAGCAAUUUAAUUUUAUAGUACAAGAAAUAAUUUUUUUAUUUUUAUUAUACUUUAAGUUCUAGGGUACAUGUGCACAACGUGCAGGUUUGUUACAUAUGUAUACAUGUGCCAUGUUGGUGUGCUACACUCAUUAACUCGUCAUUUACAUUAGGUAUAUCUCCUAAUGCUAUCCCUGCCCCCUCCCCCGACCCCACAACAGGCCCCGGUGUGUGAUGUUCCCCACCAUGUGUCCAAGUGUUCUCAUUGUUCAAUUCCCACCUAAGAGUGAGAACAUGCAGUGUUUGAUUUUUUUGUCCUUGCGAUAGUUUGCUGAGAAUGGUGGUUUCUAGCUUCAUCCAUGUCCCUACAAAGGACAUGAACUCAUACUUUUUUAUGGCUGUAUAGUAUUUCAUGAUAUAUAUGUGGCACAUUUUCUUAAUCCAGUCUAUCACUGAUGGACAUUUGCGUUGGUUCCAAGUCUUUGCUAUUGUGAGUAGUGCUGUAAUAAACAUAUGUGUGCAUGUGUCUUUAUAGCAGCAUGAUUGAUAAUCCUUUGGGUAUAUACCCAGUAAAGAGAAGGCUGGGCCAAAUGGUAUUUCUAGUUCUACAUCCUUGAGGAAUUGCCACACUGUCUUCCACAAUGGUUGAACUAGUUUACAGCCCCACCAACAGUGGAAAAGUGUUCCCAUUUCUCCACAUCCUCUCCAGCACCUGUUGUUUCCUGACUUUUUAAUGAUCACCAUUCUAACUGGUGUGAGAUGGUAUCUCAUUGUGGUAUUGAUUUGCAUUUCUCUGAUGGCUAGUGAUGAUGAGAAAUUUUUCAUAUGUCUGUUGGCUGCAUAAAUGUCUUCUUUUGAGAAGUGCCUGUUCAUGUACUUUGCCCACUUUUUGAUGGGGUUGUUUGAGUUUUUCUUGUAAAUUUGUUUAAGUUCUUUGUAGAUGCUGGAUAUUAGCCUUUUGUCAGAUGGGUAGAUUGUAAAAAUUUUCUCCCAUUCUUUAGAUUACCUGUUCACACUGAUGGUAGUUUCUUUUGCUGUGCAGAAGCUCUUUAGUUUAAUCAGAUCCCAUUUGUCUAUUUUGGCUUUUGUGGCCAUUUGUGUUUUAGUCAUGAAGUCCUUGCCCAUGCCUGUGUCCUGAAUGGUAUUGCCUAGGUUUUCUUCUAGGGUUUUUAUGGUUUUAGGUCUAACAUUUACAUCUUUAAUACAUCUUGAAUUAAUUUUUGUAUAGGUGUAAGGAAGGGAUCCAGUUUUAGCUUUCUACAUAUGGCUGGCCAGUUUUCCCAGCACCAUUUAUUAAAUAGGAAAUCCUUUCCCCAUUGCUUGUUUUUGUCAGGUUUGUCGAAGAUCAGAUGGUUGUAGAUUUGUGAUGUUAUUUCUGAGGCCCCUAUUCUGUUCCAUUGGUCUAUAUCUCUGUUUUGGUAUAAGUACUAUGCUGUUUUGGUUACUGUAGCCUUGUAGUAUAGUUUGAAGUCACAUAGCAUGAUGCCUCCAGCUUUGUUCUUUUGGCUUAGGAUUGACUUGGCAAUGUGAGCUCUUAUUUGGUUCCAUAUGAAUUUUAAAAUAGUUUUUUCCAAUUCUGUGAAGAAAGUCGUUAUUGGUAGCUUGAUGGGGAUGGCAUUGAAUCUAUAAAUUACCUUGGGCAGUAUGGCCAUUUUCAUGAUAUUGAUUCUUCCUACCCAUGAGCAUGGAAUGUUCUUCCAUUUGUUUGUGUCCUCUUUUAUUUCGUUGAGCAGUGGUUUGUAGUUUUCCUUGAAGAGGUCCUUCACAUCCCUUGUAAGUUGGUUUCCUAGGUAUUUUAUUCUCUUUGAAGCAAUUGUGAAUGGGAGUUCUCUCAUGAUUUGGCUCUCUGUUUGUCUGUUAUUGGUGUAUAAGAAUGCUUGUG
rnacentral:lncRNA from 10 species